GCGGGAAUAGCUCAGUUGGUAGAGCAUAACCUUGCCAAGGUUGGGNNCAAGGUUGGGGUCGCGAGUUCGAGUCUCGUUUCCCGCUCCA
rnacentral:tRNA from 1 species